UAGAAGAAUCUGUUAAGCUCAGGAGGGAUAGCGCCAACUCGAUACUAAUGAUUUUAUCAUAGUUUUAUAGUUGGCGCUGUCCAUCCUGAGUUUCACCGCUUCUUCUU